rnacentral:rRNA from 1 species
CCUACGGGAGGCAGCAGUGAGGAAUAUUGGUCAAUGGACGAGAGUCUGAACCAGCCACGUAGCGUGAAGGAUGACUGCCCUAUGAGUUGUAAACUUCUUCUAUAAAGGACUAAGACGACUCACGUGUUCAUCUUUGCAUGUACUUUAUCAAUAAGGAUCGGCUCACUCUGUGCCAGCAGCCGCGCUACUACGGAGGGUCCGAGCGUUACCCGGAUUUAUUGGGUGUAAAGGGACCGUAGCUGGGUGGUUAUGUCAGUUGUGAAAGUUUGCGGCUCAACCGUAAAAUUGCAAUUGAUACUGGCAGUCUUGAGUACAGUUGAGGUAGGCGGAAUUCGUGGUGUAGCAGUGAAAUGCGUAGAUAUCACGAAGAACCCCGAUUGCGAAGGCAGCUUACUAAAAUGUGACUGACAUUGAUGCGCGAAAGUGUGGGUAGCAAACAGGAUUAGAUACCCUAGUAGUC